rnacentral:misc_RNA from 1 species
CAGAGUUCAUGCCCUCACGGGUAGAUCUCCCACCCUUGAAUAUUUUAUACCUUUGUUGCUUUGGCGGGCCGCUUCGGCUACCGGCUUCGGCUGGUGAGUGCCCGCCAGAGGACCCAAAACCCUGAAUUAUUAGUGUCGUCUGAGUAAAAUAUUUAAUAUUUA